rnacentral:tRNA from 2 species
GGAGAUAUGUCCGAGAGGCCGAAGGGACUCGACUGCUAAUCGAGUAAGUGUAAAAGCUUCGUGGGUUCGAAUCCCACUAUCUCCGC